CAUUGAUCAUGGUUGCUCUGAAUAAAAUUCUUAAGGAAGGGAGGUUAAGAAAGUACAAGAACAUGCCUUCGAAUAUUAUACAAAUCUGAAGCCAGCUGCAUUCCAAGGAGCCCUGCAUCUGAUGUGUUAUUCAUUUUCAAGAUGAUAUCUGAAUACUUCUGCUAAUCAAAACAGUCUAAUGUACAUUACCAGAACAAUGUGUACGGAAGAGUGAAGACUAUCCUAACCAGUGAAGCAACGGCCAAAUGUGUUUUAUUUAAUUUUUACAACUCAUAUUUCAGUUAUACAUUGAAUUUAUUAAGCUAAAUUGCUACGAGUUUGACAUAAUUUUUGUUUUCCUUAAUGAUUGUGCUACUUUUUGUCGUAUGCAUAAUCUCCCCAAUUUGAUUCAUCUAGACUCGUGAUUUUAUUCAAUCCCCAGUUUAAGAAAAAUCAUCUCAGCAAGUCGCCAUGUCCUGUCCAUUUGUGGGUUUAAGUUGCUGGAUUGAAUUUUCUACACAUUCGAGCGUCGACAGUGGCUUCACGUGCAAUAUUUCAUGAAUCGUAGCAAAAAAUUGAUAGCCCCCACUCCUCCUUUUCUUCUCUCAGCAAGUCAGUAGCUACAGAAGUUGAAGGGUGGGAGCAUUGCGCAUGUCCUCCUCCAGCCGCUGGCAGGAACUACAUUAUGCUAUUACAUGGUUUAGCAAGGCAAGAGCUCUCAUUACUUAUUCAAGCAACAUCAUGAUUUUCAUAUAGUGCAAUUCUUAUGUCAGAAACACUUCCCAACAGUUCCUAGGAGGAUCUUUUCUUGUAUUGACUCUGCCCCAGGCUCAACAGGAAGUCUGUAAAUAUAUGCUCAUAUUCUGGCAUUUUCCCAUAUCCUGCAAUAUUAAAAUAUCACGUUAAGUGUGUCUUUGACUCUUCCAGGCCAAAUUAAUGCAAAAACUAUUAAGGGCUUCAAAGAGAGUGUAUAAUGGUAA
rnacentral:misc_RNA from 1 species